rnacentral:rRNA from 2 species
CACACUAUCAUUAACUGAAUCCAUAGGUUAAUGAGGCGAACCGGGGGAACUGAAACAUCUAAGUACCCCGAGGAAAAGAAAUCAACCGAGAUUCCCCCAGUAGCGGCGAGCGAACGGGGAGGAGCCCAGAGCCUGAAUCAGUGUGUGUGUUAGUGGAAGCGUCUGGAAAGGCGCGCGAUACAGGGUGACAGCCCCGUACACAAAAAUGCACAUAUUGUGAGCUCGAUGAGUAGGGCGGGACACGUGGUAUCCUGUCUGAAUAUGGGGGGACCAUCCUCCAAGGCUAAAUACUCCUGACUGACCGAUAGUGAACCAGUACCGUGAGGGAAAGGCGAAAAGAACCCCGGCGAGGGGAGUGAAAAAGAACCUGAAACCGUGUACGUACAAGCAGUGGGAGCCUCUUUAUGGGGUGACUGCGUACCUUUUGUAUAAUGGGUCAGCGACUUAUAUUCUGUAGCAAGGUUAACCGAAUAGGGGAGCCGAAGGGAAACCGAGUCUUAACUGGGCGUUAAGUUGCAGGGUAUAGACCCGAAACCCGGUGAUCUAGCCAUGGGCAGGUUGAAGGUUGGGUAACACUAACUGGAGGACCGAACCGACUAAUGUUGAAAAAUUAGCGGAUGACUUGUGGCUGGGGGGGAAAGGCCAAUCAAACCGGGAGAUAGCUGGUUCUCCCCGAAAGCUAUUUAGGUAGCGCCUCGUGAAUUCAUCUCCGGGGGUAGAGCACUGUUUCGGCAAGGGGGUCAUCCCGACUUACCAACCCGAUGCAAACUGCGAAUACCGGAGAAUGUUAUCACGGGAGACACACGGCGGGUGCUAACGUCCGUCGUGAAGAGGGAAACAACCCAGACCGCCAGCUAAGGUCCCAAAGUCAUGGUUAAGUGGGAAACGAUGUGGGAAGGCCCAGACAGCCAGGAUGUUGGCUUAGAAGCAGCCAUCAUUUAAAGAAAGCGUAAUAGCUCACUGGUCGAGUCGGCCUGCGCGGAAGAUGUAACGGGGCUAAACCAUGCACCGAAGCUGCGGCAGCGACACUAUGUGUUGUUGGGUAGGGGAGCGUUCUGUAAGCCUGUGAAGGUGGCCUGUGAGGGUUGCUGGAGGUAUCAGAAGUGCGAAUGCUGACAUAAGUAACGAUAAAGCGGGUGAAAAGCCCGCUCGCCGGAAGGCCAAGGGUUCCUGUCCAACGUUAAUCGGGGCAGGGUGAGUCGACCCCUAAGGCGAGGCCGAAAGGCGUAGUCGAUGGGAAACAGGUUAAUAUUCCUGUACUUGGUGUUACUGCGAAGGGGGGACGGAGAAGGCUAUGUUGGCCGGGCGACGGUUGUCCCGGUUUAAGCGUGUAGGCUGGUUUUCCAGGCAAAUCCGGAAAACCAAGGCUGAGGCGUGAUGACGAGGCACUACGGUGCUGAAGCGACAAAUGCCCUGCUUCCAGGAAAAGCCUCUAAGCAUCAGGUAACAUCAAAUCGUACCCCAAACCGACACAGGUGGUCAGGUAGAGAAUACCAAGGCGCUUGAGAGAACUCGGGUGAAGGAACUAGGCAAAAUGGUGCCGUAACUUCGGGAGAAGGCACGCUGAUAUGUAGGUGAAGCGACUUGCUCGUGGAGCUGAAAUCAGUCGAAGAUACCAGCUGGCUGCAACUGUUUAUUAAAAACACAGCACUGUGCAAACACGAAAGUGGACGUAUACGGUGUGACGCCUGCCCGGUGCCGGAAGGUUAAUUGAUGGGGUUAGCGGUAACGCGAAGCUCUUGAUCGAAGCCCCGGUAAACGGCGGCCGUAACUAUAACGGUCCUAAGGUAGCGAAAUUCCUUGUCGGGUAAGUUCCGACCUGCACGAAUGGCGUAAUGAUGGCCAGGCUGUCUCCACCCGAGACUCAGUGAAAUUGAACUCGCUGUGAAGAUGCAGUGUACCCGCGGCAAGACGGAAAGACCCCGUGAACCUUUACUAUAGCUUGACACUGAACAUUGAGCCUUGAUGUGUAGGAUAGGUGGGAGGCUUUGAAGUGUGGACGCCAGUCUGCAUGGAGCCGACCUUGAAAUACCACCCUUUAAUGUUUGAUGUUCUAACGUUGGCCCGUAAUCCGGGUUGCGGACAGUGUCUGGUGGGUAGUUUGACUGGGGCGGUCUCCUCCUAAAGAGUAACGGAGGAGCACGAAGGUUGGCUAAUCCUGGUCGGACAUCAGGAGGUUAGUGCAAUGGCAUAAGCCAGCUUGACUGCGAGCGUGACGGCGCGAGCAGGUGCGAAAGCAGGUCAUAGUGAUCCGGUGGUUCUGAAUGGAAGGGCCAUCGCUCAACGGAUAAAAGGUACUCCGGGGAUAACAGGCUGAUACCGCCCAAGAGUUCAUAUCGACGGCGGUGUUUGGCACCUCGAUGUCGGCUCAUCACAUCCUGGGGCUGAAGUAGGUCCCAAGGGUAUGGCUGUUCGCCAUUUAAAGUGGUACGCGAGCUGGGUUUAGAACGUCGUGAGACAGUUCGGUCCCUAUCUGCCGUGGGCGCUGGAGAACUGAGGGGGGCUGCUCCUAGUACGAGAGGACCGGAGUGGACGCAUCACUGGUGUUCGGGUUGUCAUGCCAAUGGCACUGCCCGGUAGCUAAAUGCGGAAGAGAUAAGUGCUGAAAGCAUCUAAGCACGAAACUUGCCCCGAGAUGAGUUCUCCCUGACUCCUUGAGAGUCCUGAAGGAACGUUGAAGACGACGACGUUGAUAGGCCGGGUGUGUAAGCGCAGCGAUGCGUUGAGCUAACCGGUACUAAUGAACCGUGAGGCUUAACCUU